rnacentral:rRNA from 1 species
UGCCGGAGGCCAUUGCUAUCGGAGUCCGAUUUAGCCAUGCUAGUUGCACGGGUUUAGACUCGUAGCAUAUAGCUCAGUAACACGUGGCCAAACUACCCUACAGACCGCGAUAACCUCGGGAAACUGAGGCCAAUAGCGGAUAUCACUCUCAGACUGGAGUGYCGAGAGUGAGAAACGUUCCGGCGCUGUAGGAUGUGGCUGCGGCCGAUUAGGUAGAUGGUGGGGUAACGGCCCACCAUGCCGAUAAUCGGUACRGGUUGUGAGAGCAAGAGCCCGGAGACGGUAUCUGAGACAAGAUACCGGGCCCUACGGGGCGCAGCAGGCGCGAAACCUUUACACUGCACGACAGUGCGAUAGGGGGACUCCGAGUGUGAGGGCAUAUAGCCCUCGCUUUUCUGAACCGUAAGGUGGUUCAGGAACAAGGACUGGGCAAGACCGGUGCCAGCCGCCGCGGUAAUACCGGCAGUCCAAGUGAUGGCCGAUAUUAUUGGGCCUAAAGCGUCCGUA